rnacentral:rRNA from 1 species
CCAUUUAAAGUGGUACGCGAGCUGGUUUUAGAACGUCGUGAGACAGUUCGGUCCCUAUCUGCCGUGGGCGCUGGAGAACUGAGGGGGGCUGCUCCUAGUACGAGAGGACCGGAGUGGACGCAUCACUGGUGUUCGGGUUGUCAUGCCAAUGGCACUGCCCGGUAGCUAAAUGCGGAAGAGAUAAGUGCUGAAAGCAUCUAAGCACGAAACUUGCCCCGAGAUGAGUUCUCCCUGACUCCUUGAGAGUCCUGAAGGAACGUUGAAGACGACGACGUUGAUAGGCCGGGUGUGUAAGCGCAGUGAUGCGUUGAGCUAACCGGUACUAAUGAACCGUGAGGCUUAACCUUACAACGCCGAAGGUGUUU